rnacentral:rRNA from 1 species
KGCUCCUUGUAAAAUAUAAAUAAGGAGUCGGACCUGCCCAGUGAAAAUUUUUAACGGCCGCGGUACUCUGACCGUGCAAAGGUAGCAUAAUCAUUUGCCUUAUAAUUCAAGGCUUGUAUGAAUGGUUUGACAAGAGUGUAGCUGUCUCUUUAUAAUUUAUUAAAAUUUUAUUUAUAGGUGAAGAAGCCUAUAUCUAAUUGAUAGACAAGAAGACCCUAUCGAGCUUUAAAUAAGUUAAUAAAUUUUAAGAAUUUAAUAUUUAUAAAAGAUAAGUUAUUAAAAAUUUUAGUUGGGGCGACUGAGGAACAAGUAAAGCUUCCUUUAUUUUUAAAUACAAUCAAGUAAUGAUCCAGAAGUUCUGAUUAAAGAAAUUAGUUACCGUAGGGAUAACAGCAUUAUCUUUUUUGAGAGCUCUAAUCGAAAAAAAGGUUUGUGACCUCGAUGUUGGACCAGAAUAUCCUGAAGAUGCAGCCGUCUUCAAAGGUUGGUCUGUUCGACCAUUAAAAUUCUACGUGAUCUGAGUUCAGACCGGCGUGAGCCAGGUCAGUUUCUAUCUUCAAUUUUUUUGAUAAACUUAGUACGAAAGGACCAGCUUAUCGCAAAUUAAAUGUUGUUUAGCUUGAUGCAGUAUAAAAGAAUAUUAAAUUAAUAAAAUUGUUAAAUAAAACAUCAAAUUAGCAAAGAUAAUGCAAUUGACUUAGGAUCAAUAGACACAGGUGAAACCCCUUUAUUUGAUAUAUAAAGAUGGCAGAGUAA